UACAGAGGAGCCAAGCGUUGUCCGGAUUGACUGGGCGUAAAGCGCACGCAGGCGGUUGCGUAAGUCAGAUGUGAAAGCCCCGGGCUCAACCUGGGAAUUGCAUUUGAGACUGCGUAGCUAGGGUGCGGAAGAGGGAAGCGGAAUUUCCGGUGUAGCGGUGAAAUGCGUAGAUAUCGGAAGGAACACCAGUGGCGAAAGCGGCUUCCUGGUCCAGCACCGACGUUCAGGCACGAAAGCGUGGGGAGCAAACAGG
rnacentral:rRNA from 1 species